CUGGGAUGCAGCCGCAGCCACCAGGGGCUGGGUCCCAGGCACUGCCCAUUUCCCACCGGAAGCUUCAGCCAGCGCUCGCUGCCUCUGCCCAGCUGGAGGGAAUCAGCGGUAGUGGAAUUUCAGGGACACUCGGUUUACUAACCCAGGAUCACUCAGAAGGGGUUAUUGAUGGGAUGGCACUAUGAUGAGCUGAGUGAAUGUCUGAGCCUGGCUGUGUCCCCAAGGCACCUCCACUCUGGUUAGGGAGACAAGCUGUGUACGCAGGAAACCGCUAGUGAGCAAUUGUGGUAGGAUAGAGGGGGCGACAACCAGGUAGGUAUAACUGCUGGGGGACCACCCAGGAAGGCGAGUGGGAGGCGGCCAGGAGCAAGCCGGUAGAGUGCGGAUGGGAAGUGGACAGCGCCUGUUGCAGAAGUCAGUGUGUGCUCAUUGUUACAACUUGUCAGCUUUGUUUGAAUUAUGAGAUAACCCCAGAUGUAACAAGCUACUGGUGAAGACUGAUGAUUCCAGAAGGAUCAAUUCUGAAACAGUAACUAUGUAUAAAGACCCAGUUCCCUCAGAGGAGACUCACAGAAAGACCUUCGCCUGCUUCCUGCACCUGGGCUCCACACCUGUCCUUAUUCAGAUAUUGUCAUUAGCCAUGAACUCCUAUGGGCAGCUAAACUCCCUCCAGUGAUCAGUUGCUCAUCCACAGCAUAUUAAUGUUAUUAAAGAUGGAUAUUACAGAGGUCUC
rnacentral:lncRNA from 1 species